UCACAGCCAUAGUACUCGACUCUCAAACAAAUAUCGUUCUUCCAUGACGUUGGAUUUAUUCUGAUAUAUUUCGCUACAAUCCCGGGAUCUAUUAUGUGGUCCAUUACAUCAUAAGAAUUUUUAUUGCCUUUAAAUAUCUAGGGCGGGAAAGCAAGACAAAAGUUACAUUUCCUAGUCUGCCUAUAGUUGACAUGCAUACUAUCUGGAAAUAUUGGAACGCACAGAACGAAAAAAAAACAGGUGAGGUUUUAAGAUUCGAUGUUACACAUUCUAAAAUUUUGUAAUUCUAUUCUCUUACCGUUGUUAUGUCGUGUGUUAGUGUGUUAGUCCAGUUUUGUUUUCAUUCCAUGUCAGUUUCACCCUACAAAUCUUUUGUUUCACUUUGUGUUUAGUCCUUUCCUUGUUAGUACAUGUGUACGUCUAUACGUGAAUUCGUUUUGUUUGAUUGUCAGUUUGUUUAUCUGUUGUUGUUUUUAAAUUUUUGUUUUGUUUAUUUAUUGUUUACUGUCCAAUGUGUUUAUUUGUUUGUUCGUUUAAUUAUUCUGUCGUGUGUUUCUGUCAUUUGUUUGUCUGUUUUUUCCUCAUUUGUUUAUGUUUCUAUUGUCCAUCUGCAUGUGACGUUGUAUUUUUAUGUACGUAUAUGUGUGUCUGUCUGUUAGUUUGUUAGUCUGUCUGUCAGUCAGU